AAUGUUUUUUUGACAUUAGCGGAAUAUUGGAAAAGUUUUGUGCACAUUUGUAAUGGAAACGCUCUACCGACUCCACCGGAUUUCCUCAACCUUGUCUCAGUCUCAUGAGUCAGGACAGAAAACAGUCCAGUGAACUGUUUACAAGAAAGUGACCAGUGAUUAUAUGUCAGCAGAGACGUGUAGACUUUGCUUUCAGAGAUGGCGGUGGCUACGUCAUCCUUCUGUGUCACUAAGAGACACACCUGGCUCCAGGCGGAGGCUGGACGCUCCUCCAUCAGCCGCCCUGCACAGAGCAGGUCUUGUCACGGAGCUGUUGCAUCAGAGAUGGAGCCACGCCGCGACCGUCGCUGCCGCACAACGCCACGCUUUGUGUCAUCGGCAGCUGCGCUUUGAUGAGAGACGCUACUGAUGGCCUUCGUCUCUCUGAGGAGGAGAGAUUCCUGCAGCUACGCGGGAGGACGAACCUCCAAUUUGGCAAAGAGACACGAGAAACUGAGCUGAGAGGAAUUCACAAGCCAAACUCAAGUAAACGAGAUUCUUGUGUCUCAAAUAUUCCUAUAAAACAAGAAUGACAGUUUUUUUUCCACUCAGCAGUCACAUAGUUUGGGAUUUUAACAUCUUCAGCAUGAUGUUUUUUUUGCAGCUGUUAAAAGGCAAAUAAAGCAGCUCAAACCUU